rnacentral:rRNA from 1 species
AUUGAACGCUGGCGGCAGGCCUAACACAUGCAAGUCGAACGAGUGGCGGACGGGUGAGUAAUGUCUGGGAAACUGCCUGAUGGAGGGGGAUAACUACUGGAAACGGUAGAUAAUACCGCAUACCAUCAGAUGUGCCCAGAUGGGAUUAGCUAGUUGGUGGGGUAACGGCUCACAAAGGCGACGAUCCCUGGCUGGUCUGAGAGGAUGACCAGCCACACGGGAACUGAGACACGGUCCAGACUCCUACGGUAGGCAGCAUGGGGGAAUAUUGCACAAUGGGCGAAAGCCUGAUGCAGCCAGGCCGCGUGUAUGAAGAAGUCCUUCGGUUUUUAAAGUACGUUCAGCGGGGAGGCGUUACCCGCAGAAGAAGCAACGGCUAACUCCGUGCCAGCCGCCGCGGUAAUC